GACGAACGCUGGCGGCGUGCCUAACACAUGCAAGUGGAGCGACGAACCAGGGCUUGCCCUGGGGCAAAGCCGCGAACGGGUGAGUAACACGUGGGUAACCUGCCCCGAUGACCGGGACAACCCGAGGAAACUCGGGCUAAUACAGGAUGUGCUCUUCACACAUCAGUGUGUUGAGUCAGGAAGCUUCGGCCUCCGCUUCGGGAGGGGCCCGCGGCCCAUUCGCUAGUUGGUGAGGUAAAGGCUCACCAAGGCAACGAUGGGUAGCGGGUCUGAGAGGACGAUCAGCCACACUGGGAAUGAGACACGGCCCAGACUCCUACGGGAGGCAGCAGUGGGGAAUCUUGCGCAAUGCGCGAAAGCGUGACGCAGCAACGCCGCGUGGGGGAAGAAGGCCUUCGGGUUGUAAACCCCUUUCAGGAGGGACGAAGGUUCGGCCGCGAAUAGCGGUCCGGACUGACGGUACCUCCAGAAGAAGCCCCGGCUAACUACGUGCCAGCCGCCGCCGUAA
rnacentral:rRNA from 1 species